rnacentral:rRNA from 1 species
UGGCGGACGGGUGAGAAACACGUGGGUAACCUGCCUCAUAGAGGGGAAUAGCCUUUCGAAAGGAAGAUUAAUACCGCAUAAGAUUGUAGUACCGCAUGGUACAGCAAUUAAAGGAGUAAUCCGCUAUGAGAUGGACCCGCGUCGCAUUAGCUAGUUGGUGAGGUAACGGCUCACCAAGGCGACGAUGCGUAGCCGACCUGAGAGGGUGAUCGGCCACAUUGGGACUGAGACACGGCCCAGACUCCUACGGGAGGCAGCAGUGGGGAAUAUUGCACAAUGGGGGAAACCCUGAUGCAGCAACGCCGCGUGAGUGAUGACGGUCUUCGGAUUGUAAAGCUCUGUCUUCAGGGACGAUAAUGACGGUACCUGAGGAGGAAGCCACGGCUAACUACGUGCCAGCAGCCGCGGUAAU